rfam:Theobroma cacao cultivar Matina 1-6 chromosome 9, whole genome shotgun sequence.
GAGAAAAGAGCCUGUUAGCAUAGCCAAGGUGACUGCCUGCAGACCAGAGCCAGGGGUUUUACAUUCAUAAUCAUAGCAUCAAUAUUAACCACCUGAAAAGCCGUAGGCAAGUCAUCCCUGGCUACCAAACAAAGACUCUUUAUC